AGUGAACGCUGGCGGCGUGUUUAAGACAUGCAAGUCGCACGGGAUAAGACAUGUAGUAAUACUUGUUUUAUUUAGUGGCGCACGGGUGAGUAACACGUGAAUUACAUGCCCUAUAGUGGGGAAUAGCCCAGGGAAACUUGGAUUAAUACCCCAUGGUAUCGAAAGAUUAAGGGUGGCCGCAAGGCUGUCGCUAUAGGAUUGGUUCGCGCCCUAUCAGCUUGUUGGUGAGGUAACGGCUCACCAAGGCAAUGACGGGUACCUGGUCUGAGAGGACGAUCAGGCACACUGGAACUGCGACACGGUCCAGACACCUACGGGUGGCAGCAGUCGAGAAUAAUUCACAAUGGGGGCAACCCUGAUGGUGCAACGCCGCGUGGAGGAUGACGGUCUUCGGAUUGUAAACUCCUGUCAUCUGGGAGAAAGACCUGACGGUAAAUAGCCGGCAGGGUUGAUAGUACCAGAAGAGGAAGGGACGGCUAACUUCGUGCCAGCAGCCGCCGUAA
rnacentral:rRNA from 1 species